AGCAGCCGCGGUAAUUCCAGCUCCAAUAGCGUAUAUUAAAGUUGUUGCAGUUAAAAGCUCGUAGUUGAAUUUCGGGGUUAGUAGGUUGGUCGUGCCUCUGGUAUGUACUGGCUUUACUGAUCCCUCCUUCUUGUAGAACCGUAAUGCCAUUAAUUUGGUGUUGCGGGGAAACAGGACUGUUACUUUGAAAAAAUUAGAGUGUUUAAAGCAGGCUAACGCUUGAAUACAUUAGCAUGGAAUAAUGAAAUAGGACGAUCGAUCCUAUUUUGUUGGUUUCUAGGAUUGACGUAAUGAUUAAUAGGGAUAGUUGGGGGCAUUAGUAUUCAAUUGUCAGAGGUGAAAUUCUUGGAUUUAUUGAAGACUAACUACUGCGAAAGCAUUUGCCAAGGAUGUUUUCAUUAAUCAAGAACGAAAGUUAGGGGAUCGAAGACGAUCAGAUACCGUCGUAGUCUUAACCAUAAACUAUGCCGACUAGGGAUCGGAUGAUGUUAAUUUUUUAAUGACUCAUUCGGCGCCUUAC
rnacentral:rRNA from 1 species